GAAUAUGUUUGUGCAUCUUCAGUGGAAGCCCGAGAUUGCUGCAGGGAUGCUGGCAGGAGAAUAAACAACCCCCUGCUGAAUUCCUACAUCACAGACCACAGUGGAAACAAACAUUAAGCAAACAAGCAAAACUUCCCGACAAACCACAAAGAUGCCACGAUCUUUUAACUUCCUCUGAGGCCAUCUUGGACUUCAUUAAAGUCACCUGUGUGGGGAAGUAUUUUUCCCCUGCUGUUUUCUUCCAGCAGUCUUGUCCCCAAGGCACCAGAUUCCCUGUACAAGUUCCCACAGAAGUUUAUUAAAUCUGUAACUCAAAAUGUAGCUCACAGAGGGGGGAAAAAGGCAGUGGGGGGUUUCUAGCAGUGUGUCUCAAAAACUAAAGGAUGAUUGAAGCUGAAAUCUCUCACUUUCUUUUACUUUGGGGAGUAUGCUUCAGAGAUCUUAAUGAAAUCAAAUUGCCAUUACGGACUCUCCUGAGACUUCCUCUGUGUUUUUCAAAGAUACUGGAAUCUCCAUCCCUGACUCCAUCCUUUCCUCCAAGAGGCCUGCAGUCUACAUUUUUUUUGCUAUUAAAUUCUAACACCUUCCUCACCUGACCCACAACUGAGUGGAACCAAGGAACCCUGGGGGAAAUUUCUUUCUCCUUCUCCUCUUGAGACUAUUAGAUCUAUCUCUUUGCGGAUGUUCUUUUUCCAGAAGCUUGAAUAGGAACUGUGUAAAUGGUGGUUGGAGAGAGAAUAUGUUGUAUAUUUUAAAAAUUUAAAAUAAUGUAUAUGCCACCUUUCUCCUAAAGGAUUCAAGACGGCCUACAGUAUUAGAAGAAACAAAGUUAAAAGCGAAAAUAAUGAACUACUACAAUAUCAAAAAAGAAUUACACUGAUAUCACAUUAAAGCAUAAAUAGGAGGAAGAUUAAGGCCAGCCUCCCUGAAGAAAAAGGGGUGAAGAGAUGCUCAGGAGAUUGUUGGGUAUCUUUCUAAAGCAAGAGGAUACAAAUGAUAAAGCUGAGGCAGAGAAUUUCUUCUGUUGUUUUAUCAAAUCAAUAUCCAUUUGCCUCGAUGCACAGUUUCUCCGGUACCACAACAAGACAGAUGACUGUAAAGGAUUACAAAACACACUAAAAGACCCCUUUCCUCAAUUCCUGAGCCACAAUCACAGGCCGCAAGGUCCCUGGUGCUUUGCCUUCUCAGAGGCUGUU
rnacentral:lncRNA from 1 species